AGCGAACGCUGGCGGCAGGCCUAACACAUGCAAGUCGAACGGACCCUUCGGGGUUAGUGGCGGACGGGUGAGUAACACGUGGGAACGUGCCCUUUGGGUCGGAACAACUCAGGGAAACUUGAGCUAAUAACGAAUGUGCCCUUCGGGGGAAAGAUUUAUGGCCAUUGGAGCGGCCCGCGUCUGAUUAGCUAGUGGGUGGGGUAAUGGCCUACCAAGGCUACGAUCAGUAGCUGGUCUGAGAGGAUGAUCAGCAACAUGGGGACUGAGACACGGCCCAAACUCCUACGGGAGGCAGCAGUGGGGAAUCUUGCGCAAUGGGCGAAAGCCUGACGCAGCCAUGCCGCGUGAAUGAUGAAGGUCUUAGGAUUGUAAAAUUCUUUCACCGGGGACGAUAAUGACGGUACCCGGAGAAGGAGCCCCGGCUAACUUCGUGCCAGCCGCCGCAGUAAAAC
rnacentral:rRNA from 1 species